GAUGAACGCUGGCGGCGUGCUUAACACAUGCAAGUCGAACGAGAAGUGAAGACGGAAACCUUCGGGCGGAAGGCUUUAUUUCGAGUGGCGGACGGGUGAGUAACGCGUGGGUAACCUGCCUCAUACAGGGGGAUAACAGUUGGAAACGACUGUUAAUACCGCAUAAGACCACAGCACCGCAUGGUGCGGGGGUAAAAACUCCGGUGGCAUGAGAUGGACCCGCGUUCGAUUAGCCAGUUGGCGGGGUAACGGCCCACCAAAGCGACGAUCGAUAGCCGAUCUGAGAGGAUGACCGGCCACAUUGGGACUGAGACACGGCCCAAACUCCUACGGGAGGCAGCAGUGGGGAAUAUUGCACAAUGGGGGAAACCCUGAUGCAGCGACGCCGCGUGAGUGAAGAAGUAUUUCGGUAUGUAAAGCUCUAUCAGCAGGGAAGAAAAUGACGGUACCUGAGUAAGAAGCCCCGGCUAACUACGUG
rnacentral:rRNA from 1 species